rfam:Candidatus Pacearchaeota archaeon CG1_02_30_18 cg1_0.2_scaffold_360_c, whole genome shotgun sequence.
GCGUUAGUGGUCUAAUGGUAGAAUACGAGCUUCCCAAGCUUGUGAUCCGGGUUCGAUUCCCGGCUGGCGCA